rnacentral:rRNA from 1 species
GACGGAGGAUGCAAGCGUUAUCCGGAAUGAUUGGGCGUAAAGCGUCCGCAGGUGGCAGUUCAAGUCUGCUGUCAAAGACCGGGGCUUAACUUCGGAAAGGCAGUGGAAACUGAACAGCUAGAGUAUGGUAGGGGCAGAGGGAAUUCCUGGUGUAGCGGUGAAAUGCGUAGAUAUCAGGAGGAACACCGGUGGCGAAGGCGGCAUCCUGGACCGGUAUUGACGCUGAGGCGCGAAAGCCAGGGGAGCAAACGGG